UGUCGGAAUAUCUGCUAAAAUUCCGCAUUUUCCGCACCGGGUUUCCGCACCGGGACACUCGGGGCGUAUGUUCAAUUUGUCGGAAUGGAGUUUUUAGGGAUAUGGGGUUGAAAAA
rnacentral:sRNA from 1 species